UACGUAGGGGGCUAGCGUUGUCCGGAAUCAUUGGGCGUAAAGAGCGUGUAGGCGGCUCGGUAAGUCCGCUCUGAAAGCCCGGGGCUCAACCCCGGGAGGCGGGCGGAUACUGUCGGGCUAGAGUCCGGAAGAGGCGAGUGGAAUUCCUGGUGUAGCGGUGAAAUGCGCAGAUAUCAGGAGGAACACCAAUAGCGAAGGCAGCUCGCUGGAACGUAACUGACGCUGAGACGCGAAAGCGUGGGGGAGCAAACAGG
rnacentral:rRNA from 1 species